GGAGUUGUCCGAGCGGUCGCGUCUGCUGGUUCAAGUAGAUGAGGAAAGUCCGAACUCCACAGGACAAGGUGCUCGUUAACAGCGAGGUGUCGCGAGACAAUGGAAAGCGCCACAGAAAACAUACCGUCCCAACCAGAUGGAUAAGUAGUUAUCACGAUCUAUUGGGAUAAGGGUGAAAAAGUGAGGCAAGAGCUCACUGGCAUUCGCUGCAAAGCGGAUGAUCGGCAAGCCCCACCUGGUGCAAGACCAAGCAAUAGGCAUUUAGCGAGUGUUAUCUCACUAAAGCGAAAUGGUCCGUUUCGAACUGCCUAUGGGUAGGUCGCUUGACGUUAAUGGCAACAUUAACGCUAGAUAGAUGACCGCAUAGAACAGAAUUCGGCUUACUGGAUAACUCUCUCU
rnacentral:RNase_P_RNA from 1 species